rnacentral:tRNA from 1 species
GCCUUCAUGGUGUAACGGUUAGGACAAUUGGCACGUAUUCGAUAGGUCCAGGUUCGAGUCCCGGUGAGGGCA